CUUUCUUCUCAAAAUAAUGAUAAAAAAUAUAUAUGUUGGACCUUAAUUUAAUUUUUUUUUUCCAGUGGCCUUAAUCCUCUUCCGUAUGAACUGAAUCUUAUUAAAAGUGCACAACAGUUGAGGUUUUGAGUAAAAACUAAACUCAGGGUUAAACAGUCUUUUUUAAUUUGAAGCUACUUAAAAAGUCUGAAGUCUGGUAUAACAUAGUUAAAAGUUAAACCAUGAUUUAUACAGGUUUAAAGAUUAAUCCCUGUUGGUGUGACCUGGUCGUGGAGUUUCACUGUUGGAAGCAGCUACAGCAUCAUUAGGGCACUGAAGGGUUUUUUUAUUCGUUUUAUAUGUAAGAACUGAGAGUUACUGCCAAUUUCUGAGCCAAGAAGGUGAUAAUAUUACCAACAUUUUUUAUCUUUUCUUGGUGCCCAAUUCAAUUAUAAGACUUUAUCUUUCUCUGGUACACUAAGAUAAUCAAUACUUGAAUAUUUCCAAAGAUAAACACGUCAUACAUUUACUACAGGAAAGCACAGCUGCACCUUAGUAUACAUAACACCAUCAUCGUUGUGAUAUUUACAGAUGACUUUGGCGUCUUGUGGUGCAGUUAUAUUUGUUGUCGAUGCAUUUUGAACAGAUUUUUUUUCCCCUUCAUAGAAUUUUUUGUUAAAUGGCAUGCAGGGACACUUUAAAGUCCAUAUACAGCAUUUUAAUCAGGGUUUUUACAAGUUUUUAAGGUUCAGUGUGUGAUAUUUAGUGACAUCUAGUGGUGAAGUUACAGAGUGCAACUAAUUUCACCUUCCCCUUAUUGCGAAAAGUGAGUAUUUAAGUCAAUGGCUGUGUUUCCAUCCAGCUGGUUUCUGUAAAAUUUUCAUGUUUGCGCAUUAAAAAAAAGGAAAUGCUGUAAAUUCCGAAAAACACUGACAUAUAGCAAGAAAAGUGUAACUGAAAAAGUCAAAAGUUGCUGAAUUGAUAAAGAAAAUAAGUAGAAUGGAAUCAGAUUUAGUGAAAAUUCGUCUCUGCAUGUAUUGACAAAUAAGAAAACUAAUGCUACAAAAACAUAAAUGCCAUAUCAAAUAAUGUCACCAUGUAUGAAAAGCUGCAGAAACAAAUUUUAGACAAAGAAACGUUAUAUGUUCCAGUCCAAAAGCUCUGUCCAGGUUGACAUCUAUCAGCUCCUCAAUCAACAGUUCAGGUAAUAAUGCGAUUGUAUGAAACACUACAUCUAAUAGGUCAACUUUUAAAACCAGCUUUUCAUAUUCACAUAAAAGUAGUGGAUGAAAUUUGCAUAAAUGUGCAUUUUCUUGUGCUCAUUUUCUGGGGAAUUCAGUUGAAAAUGGCUAAAUAUUUGGAUGGAAACCUGCUUAGUGUGUGUUGCCUUUUACUAUGGCGAUAAAAGGUGACAAUAAUGCACUGAAACCACCCUUUAGAGCUAAUGUAGAAACAGUGAUGCAAGAUAUAUAAAUAGCUCGUUCUAAGCUAGUGAAAACACAAGUGUCAUUUUUAAGUGAUUGAACACUAAUGAAAUCCAUGUAAAUCUUACACACUGGACCUUUAAAGCCCUGAAAUUUUGAUUACCAGAUGUUAAACUUGACAGAAACCCUGCUUUAAGUGCUUUCGCUGUGGAAUGAGACACUUUUUCAUCCACUUACUACAUGAUUUGAUGCCACAUUUUUGAUGUACAUUCUUAGGUCAGUAUGUUUUGAACAGUUGUGAAUUUGCAGCCUGUAGUCAGUUUUUACUCUCUGUACCACAGGAAACCAUCUCAUUGAACAUUUUUAAUUAUUUCUGUGAUCUAUGCAACAGUAGUUCUAGUUGUUUUUAAUGUAAAUCUGAUAGACGGCGAGCCUUGUAAUGUUUGAUAAUGUAGGACGGGUGCUGCUGUUCAUUCUGUUUUCUAGGGGAUUUGAUGGUUUUGUUGUUUUUUUUCACUUUACAUGUAGGUGCUAGGGUGUAAAUAAGGAAAAGUAUUUUUGCAGAUAUUUAUCAUUGAAUUGUAUGUUUUAUUAGGAAUGAGUGCAGAGUCUUUUGAUGAAUGUGAAAUGGGUGAAUCUCUGAUGGAUAAACAGUCACUUAAAAAAAAAAAAAGAGGUUGUCCCUUGUUUUUCUCACUUCACACUCAUCAUCUGAACACAUUACAACUCAAGAAACAUCCAUGUGUAAUUCCCAUAAAUCUGUAGUUGUUAAAUCAUUCCAAUUUAUUCUUUGAAUGCCUAAAUAUACAUAUUUCACAAAUUAUUACAACGAGGGAUAUUGCAGUGUUAUGGCCUAAUUACCCAGCCUGUUUUGGCCAAUUCGAGCUCACUCGUUGCUCUCCAUCUAUGGCAUUAAACACACUCCUCAUGGCAAAAUUAAUCUCAUAACAUUUACAAUGAAAGGAUCUGCGGAUCUGCUUCCCCAACAGAGAAAUGGGUGUUUCCGUUUAUUUCACUUUGGUGGUGAAUAUUCAUAUAUUCUCUUGGAUGAGAUUCCCCUUCGAGUAAUAUUCAACAUGUUUAAUCGAACUCCUAUUAAAUCUAAAUGAAAUAUACAUUAGGAACAGCCCACACUGUCAAAGUCACUGCUCAUGACCAAGCACAGAGCAAGUAGAAUGAGUUAUUGUUUAAGAUAUAUGCCUUAUAUAUAAUUUCCCGAUCUAAUGACUUGGGACAACUACUAACAUUCUUAAGAGUAACUGCAAUUUCCAGGUUGUAAGUGAAUACAACAAAUGCAAUUUUUAACAUCCAGGUCAAAUUACCUUCAUGAUCAUGAAUGUGCUCUAGGGAUUUGGAAAAAAAAAAAAAAAC